UACGUAGGGGGCGAGCGUUGUCCGGAUUCAUUGGGCGUAAAGAGCUCGUAGGCGGUUCGGCAAGUCGGGUGUGAAAACUCCAGGCUCAACCUGGAGACGCCACCCGAUACUGCUGUGACUCGAGUCCGGUAGGGGACCACGGAAUUCCUGGUGUAGCGGUGAAAUGCGCAGAUAUCGGGAGGAACACCUGUGGCGAAGGCGGCCAUCUGGACGGUAACUGACGCUGAGACGCGAAAGCGUGGGUAGCAAACAGG
rnacentral:rRNA from 1 species